UCAUAACCUUAUACUUCCCAUGCAUACCUCUAUGACAACCCGAAAUUCGGACAGCAUCAUGUCGCAUAUAAAAGGAAAUAAUCACCUGUAUAAGCUCGAGCACACAUAUAUAUGUAUAUACAAUACUUGGCCGUUGGAGCCAUCACGUCUAUUAACAAAACACCACCUUGACUGUACAUUAGGUCUACAAAGCCUCUAGACAAUACACAGAG
rnacentral:lncRNA from 1 species